rnacentral:rRNA from 1 species
CCUACGGGUGGCAGCAGUGAGGAAUAUUGGUCAAUGGACGAGAGUCUGAACCAGCCAAGUAGCGUGAUGGAUGACUGCCCUAUGGGUUGUAAACUUCUUUUAUAAAGGAAUAAAACGAGGCACGUGUGCCUUUUUGCAUGUACUUUAUGAAUAAGGAUCGGCUAACUACGUGCCAGCAGCCGCGGUAAUACGGAGGGUACUAGCGUUAUCCGGAUUUACUGGGUGUAAAGGGAGCGUAGACGGGUUUGCAAGUCAUGAGUGAACGGUGGGGGCGCAACCGCCGGAUUGCUCUUGAUACUGGGAGGCUGGAGUACAGGAGAGGCAAGCGGAAUUCCUAGUGUAGCGGUGAAAUGCGUAGAUAUUGGGAGGAACACCAGUGGCGAAGGCGGCUUACUGGACUGUAACUGACGUUGAGGCUCGAAAGCGUGGGGAGCAAACAGGAUUAGAUACCCUAGUAGUC